rnacentral:rRNA from 1 species
AGUGAGCUCUGGGUCACCUCCCACCCGUGUUUAUCGUACCUUGUUGCUUCGGCGGGCCCGCCUCACGGCCGCCGGGGGGCAUCUGCCCCCGGGCCCGCGCCCGCCGAAGACACCAUUGAACGCUGUCUGAAGAUUGCAGUCUGAGCAUCUUAGCUAAAUCAGUUAAAACUUUCAACAACGGAUCUCUUGGUUCCGGCAUCGAUGAAGAACGCAGCGAAAUGCGAUAAGUAAUGUGAAUUGCAGAAUUCAGUGAAUCAUCGAGUCUUUGAACGCACAUUGCGCCCUCUGGUAUUCCGGAGGGCAUGCCUGUCCGAGCGUCAUUGCUGCCCUCAAGCACGGCUUGUGUGUUGGGUCCCCGUCCCCUGCUUCCAGGGGGCGGACCCGAAAGGCAGCGGCGGCACCGCGUCCGGUCCUCGAGCGUAUGGGGCUUCGUCACCCGCUCUUGUAGGCCCGGCCGGCGCCCGCCGGCGACCCCCCAUCAAUCUUUUCAGGUUGACCUCGGAUCAGGUAGGGAUACCCGCUGAACUUAAGCAUAUCAAUAAGCGGAGGAA